rnacentral:rRNA from 1 species
AAUAUUGGGCAAUGGACGCAAGUCUGACCCAGCCAUGCCGCGUGGAGGAUGAAGGUCCUCUGGAUUGUAAACUUCUUUUAUCUGAGAAGAAAACCAGGAUUUCUAUUCUGGCUGACGGUACCAGAUGAAUAAGCCCCGGCUAACUUCGUGCCAGCAGCCGCGGUAAGACGAAGGGGGCUAGCGUUGUUCGGAAUUACUGGGCGUAAAGCGAGUGUAGGUGGUUGUCCAAGUUGGAUGUGAAAGCCUUGAGCUCAACUCAAGAAAUGCAUUCAGGACUGGAUGGCUAGAGGACCGGAGAGGAUAGUGGAAUUCCCAGUGUAGUGGUGAAAUACGUAGAGAUUGGGAAGAACACCAGUGGCGAAGGCGGCUAUCUGGACGGUUUCUGACACUAAGACUCGAAAGCGUGGGGAGCAAAC